AAUUUUAUCAUUUGGGCCUACUUGACUAAUUUUGUGUUUAAAAUUUAAUUUCAGGAGAAUUAUAAGCAAUUGGGCUUGAAUCCAAAAUUGAGCUUGGACUUGAAGAGAGCAGACAAUUUUAUUUUAUCAAAUCUUAUCUUAUCCAGAUUUUAUUUCAUCUAGAUUUUAUUUCAUCCAAUCUUAUCUUAUCUUGUCCAGAUUUUAUUUUAUUUCGUUUAUGGGCUUGGACUUAAAAUAGAUUUAUAAGCUUUGGGGCUAAGGACCUAUAUAACAGCACCAGGGUUUUAGUUUAGG
rnacentral:lncRNA from 1 species